AAGUAGAUGGAUUCAUAUUUUUGGACGAAUAGAUGAAUCUUGUGAGAGAUGAAGGCUUCAACUGUCUUCCAGUUGUGCUAUAUGGAUCUGAUGAGAGCCGAGGGCUAAAAUAGAUUCAGUCGUCUUGGAGUUGUUUUUGUCAUUUGAUAAUUAGGAGAUGCUUUGUUGCUUCAGUUGUGUCCCUUUUGAUUUGUAUUUUUGGAUGAAUAAAUGAAUCUUGUUAGGGAUGAAGGCUAAAAUAUAUUCAGUUGUCUUUGAGUUGUACUCCCUCAGUCCCAUAAUAUAAGAGCGUUUUUUACACUAGUGUAGAUAAAUGAGAGCUUAGAUAGUUUCGGUUGUCUGUUUUGGGGUGUUAGGUUCAUAUUGAUAUUGUACUGUGGUGGUAAAUGGAUGGCACACUGCGACAUGCUUUUUUUUGCGGUGAAAAAAAAGCAUGUCGCAGUGUGGGUCAUUUAAUUGGUGUUCUUGAAUGAGUUGAUCGAUUUGGUGUCGGUUUGGGUCACUGGUUGGGUGUGGUAUAUUGUGUUUUCUGUUUAUUGGGAUGGUUAGGUGCCAUUGAUUGAGUUAUUUGUGCUGCCUGGUGAUCAUGGGCAUUAUCAUAUAUAGCAUAUUCAGGGUUCCACUCCUGUUAGUUGCGUGUGUUUGCCAGGUUGUACACCGCAUGGUCUUGCAAUUAGGUUUACUUCGUGUGUCUUGUUGUGGUCAAUUCCUAUGUAUGUAUUGUUUUGUACUUUUGUUUCUUUGGUUUUAGCUUCUGUCCGCCGAUGCAGUGAGAGCUCGGUGUCGUGUCCGCUAGCUGAGCGGCAAGCUGGAGCUGCAGGAAAAAAAAAGCAUGUCGCAGUGUGGGUCAUUUAAUUGGUGUUCUUGAAUGAGCUGAUCGAUUUGGUGUCGGUUUGGGUCACUGGUUGGGUGUGGUAUAUUGUGUUUUCUGUUUAUUGGGAUGGUUAGGUGCCAUUGAUUGAGUUAUUUGUGCUGCCUGGUGAUCAUGGGCAUUAUCAUAUAUAGCAUAUUCAGCGUUCCACUCCUGUUAGUUGCGUGUGUUUGCCAGGUUGUACACCGCAUGGUCUUGCAAUCAGGUUUACUUCGUGUGUCUUGUUGUGGUCAAUUCCUAUGUAUGUAUUGUUUUGUACUUUUGUUUCUUUGGUUUUAGCUUCUGUCCGCCGAUGCAGUGAGAGCUCGGUGUCGUGUCCGCUAGCUGAGCGGCAAGCUGGAGCUGCAGGUCGAUGAACAUGGUGGCCCUACUGUGAGUUAUGGAUUACUGUGAAGAAUGAUUACCCUGAUUAAUUAGGAUUUGAAUGUGUUAGCCUAGACCCAGAUGGAUUGGUUUCAAGUUAUUUCUUGGGUGGGAGAUCAUAUGUACCUCUACAGGCAUGAAAAAGAACAGCCUCAAACAUUUGGUAUAUUCCUCAUUUAGUUUAUUUAUUGUCUUACAUAACUAACUUAGUGCUUGGGGCUACUUUGUGUUUUAGGUUACUGGCCAGGUCUUUAGCCGCCAAGAGCAGUGGCUAGGGCUGUCCAGCUUGGCAGGUAUACUGCAUGUUCUAUUAGGUUCUUGUCCUUGUCUGGUUUGUUUACCUAUAACUAACAUACAUGCCUUUAUUUCUUCCAGUUGUGUGUGUUAGUCUUUUUUGGUUGUUCCUAUGGCUUGUUGUGGCUUCCUUUGUUUUCUGUCGGGCAGUGUGCCUUUGUUUGGGUCAGUUGCCAUGGUGCUUCAUAGGUGAUCUUGAAGAUAAUCAGGGAUAAUGUCUCACUGUGCGCAAGCGGUUCCUCCUGUGCUGCCUUGUUGAAUGCAAGCUUCUCUAUCUUGGAAACCAGCAGCGUUCCCUACCUUGUUUGAGAGCUUUUUCUUUGUGUUCUGUUCCACUGCCGCCCACUCGCUCCGUCGGUCUGGCAUUAGACUCCAGAGAGGUUUACGUUGAUGUUUAGUCUCUGUCUCACUCAAAAGGCUCGCUGGUUCCCACAUCAUGGGAAUUCGCAGGGCCCUAUGGAGCGGUUUCUUGUGCGGAUGCAUGACGGUGGUCGGCCAAGGCCAUGGCUGGUGCCACCCACUCACUGGGCAAGGGCAAGGAGGUCGUCGUUGUUCUAUCGGACGACGACACUGACUAGUUUAGUUUCGUUUAACUAUAGUAAUAUGGUGUCUUAUGGGUACUGUAUACUCAUUUGACUGUUAGCAUUGAGUUGGUAAAUGCCAACCCCAGUAAGUGUUGUUUCUGGCUAUUAAAUCAAGCUAUGCUUAUAUUAUUUUUGUUUGUCUUGGUUGUGAUGAUGUUUCUCUCUAGGAUGUAUACUUCAUUAAAACUCAGUUUACGAUAUCGCUUGCUAAAUGCUGAUUGUUACUGCAA